rfam:Thalassiosira oceanica strain CCMP1005 To_g38744, whole genome shotgun sequence.
UAAAAUAUGAGUUUGAUCCUGGCUCAGAAUGAACGCUAAUAGUAUGCUUUACACAUGCGAGUUGUACGAAAAAUCGUAGCGAACGGGUGAGGAAUGCGCAAUUGAAAAAUUAACUACCUUUUAAUUCAAGAUAAACUAUACCUUUUAAGAUUAGAUUUUUUUAGGGUAAAACUUUUUAGUUUAUAGUAAUAUUGAAUAAAGAUUUUAUAACUUUUAUUUAUUUAAAAAUCGUUAAAAGAUGAAUUUGUGUAAGAUUAGGUAGUUGGUGUAAAUAAAAGUGCACCAAGCCUAUGAUCUUUAGUUGGCCUAAGAGGGUGUGCAACCACACUGGAACUGAGACAAGGUCCAGGCUAUUUUAGCCAGCAGUGAGGAAUAUUGGACAAUUAACGAAAGUUUGAUCCAGCAAUACUAUGUGAAUGAAUGACGGCUAAUUUUUGGUUGUAAAGUUCUUUCGUUAAAAAUGAUAAUGACAUUAUUUAAAAAAGUUUUAGUCCCGGCUAAUCUCGUGCCAGCAGCCGCGGUAAUACGGGAGGGGCAAGCGUUAUUCGAAAUUACUGGGCGUACAAAAUUCGUAGGUUGUAAUUUAAGUUGUGUGUUAAAAUUUAAAGCCUAACUUUAAAAGAACAUACAAUACUUUUUUACUAGAGUUGAAUACAGAAAAGUAGAAUUUUAUGUUAAGGAGUAAUUACCUGAAAUACAUGAAGGAAUAUCAAUAGCGAAGGCAACUUUUUAGUAUAAACUGACACUGAGGGAUGAAAGUGUAGGGAGCAAAUAGGAUUAGAUACCCUAGUAGUCUAUACUGUAAAUUCUGAAUGCUGUAAUUUAAAGAAAUUUAGAUUUUUAAGCUAACGCCAUAAGCAUUCUGCCUGAGGAGUACGAUCGCAAGAUUUGAACUUAAAGGUAUUGACGGGAGUCUACAACGAGUGGUGGAGCAUGUGAUUUAAUGCGAUAAUCCGCGCAAAAUCUUACCAACCUUUGACAUACUGAAAAGUUUUAAAAAAUUAAAUUUCAUUACAGGUGUUGCACGACUGUCGUCAGCUAGUGUCGUAAGAUGUUUGGUUAAUUCCUUUAAACUAGCGUAACUCUCAUUUUUAAUAGACUACUUUUAAUAUUUAAUUUUUAUUAAAUAUUUUGUUUUAAAAAGACUGCCUUUAUAGGAAGAAGGUGAGAAUAAAGUCAAGUCACUGUGGCCCUUAUAGGUUGGGCUAUACACGUGCUACAAUGGGAAUGACAAAAAGCAACAAAAAUGAAAAUUUUAGUUAAUCUUAAAAAAUUCCCUUAGUUCAGAUUGCAGACUGCAACUCGUUUGCAUAAAGAUGGAAUCACAAGUAAUCGCAAAUCAGAACGUUGCGGUGAAUAAGUACCUUGACUUUGUACACACCGCCCGUCACAUGCAAAAAGUUAAUUUUAUUUGAAGGUUAUGUUUUUUUGUUUUGUUUUUUAAUAAAAAAAUUAGCCCAUUAAAAGAUUAAUAAUUUGGAUGAAGUCGUAACAAGGUAGCUGUACGGGAACGUGUAGCUGGAACAAGUGAAAU